rnacentral:rRNA from 1 species
UACGUAGGGUGCGAGCGUUGUCCGGAAUUAUUGGGCGUAAAGAGCUCGUAGGCGGCUUGUCACGUCGGAUGUGAAAACCCGGGGCUCAACCCCCGGGCCUGCAUUCGAUACGGGCAGGCUAGAGUUCGGUGAGGGGAGACUGGAAUUCCUGGUGUAGCGGUGAAAUGCGCAGAUAUCAGGAGGAACACCGGUGGCGAAGGCGGGUCUCUGGGCCGUAACUGACGCUGAGGAGCGAAAGCGUGGGGAGCGAACAGG